CUUAUUGUGUUUCUCUCUUCGUAUGCAAAGCAAAGAACCUGCGAAUACCAAAACAGUAGUCUAUCUGUCCUCCAAAGACUGAGAAAGAGAGACUCCGAGGCGCAGAGAACGAAGCUUCAGCGAAAUGGCCGAGAAGGGUGCAGAGGAAGCGGCCGUGGGCGUCUCCGUACCCGAAGGCGCCUCCAUUGCCUCCGGCGAGAACAUGGUCUGGACUGACGUGUCACUCCUCCUCGAAGCCGCAUGCAAAGAUCUUCGAGAUGGUGAGCUCGUUCAUGGAGAUAAUUUCAAUCUUUUUGCUGCCAUGUCUGCUUUGGAGAUAAUGGACCCGAAGAUGGAUUCCGGUAUGGUUUGUAAAUACUACUCUGUUGAUGAAGCCAUUGAGAAUGGUGCUGCUCCAGUCCCUAUUAGCUUUUACAAAACUGUUGAUGUUCAAUGCACCAUUGACAUAAUGGAUUAUCUUCUAGCAUGUGAGGCUACGUGGCACAAGGGUCACUCAUUGGCACAAACCGUCUUCUCUUGUAUCUAUCUUUUGAGGCCUGAUAGGACAUCUUCACACGCCUUGCUUCAUUCUUACUGCAGAGUCAUUCGUGCAACCUGCAAGGCAGUUAUUUCAGUUGUCUCAGAUGCACGUACACAUGAAGAAGAGGAUCUAUUUACAAUGGCUUACGGCCUUCCUUUGGAUGGGGAUAGAGAUGAAAAGUGCUUAUCAUUGCUAAAUGCUGUUGAAGAAACAAUUUCUCGCCAAUUGCGUGCUUGCAAAGCCCACUCAUCAAAAAGAAGAGUGCUAGAAGAUAUAGAGCCAUUACAAGCAAAUGUUGAUCUGGAAGAAGGCUACUGCAAAGCCUUGUUAUGCCGUUUACGCUUUCGUAAGCAUUUUUACCAUGUUCUUACGUCUAUGAGGCGGCCUCAAGGGAGAGGUUUGGAGUUGGCGAGGAAACACAUAGCCGCCUGCAUAUCAGAGCUAGAAUGCAUUCUUAAAUCGUCAGAAUUUCUUAGAUCUAUUGCCAGUGGAGCUUGUGAUGAUGACACAGAAGAUAGAACUACUGCUUCAGGUUGUCAACCAAUUGGAUUUGAUGCUAGCUUAAAUUGUAGAUUAUCUGCUCCUACACCACCUCGCACGAUUAAAAUUCUUUCUUGGAAAAAGGCCAUUGAAUAUUUUGUGAAACUUCUUCAUGAUCUAGACAUUAUAUGUUCCUACUCGUUGGACCCAUUGUUAGAAGGUGUUUUGCACUUUGUGGUUCAGUUCCAAAAAUCUCAACCUGAUUUGGUUGCAAGAGCUCAUCUCCAGCUUCUGCUUGUUCAAGAUGGGAAACUGUAUGGGCGGGAUUCUAUGUUUGCUGUGAUCACUAGAGCUGCAGCAUUGCCCGAGGUUACGAAGAAUCAUGAUAUUCAGAAUAAUGAAUAUGUUGGACAACUAGGACAGUUAGUGCUUAAUACGCUCAAAAUUCUUUGUACAAAUUCUGCAUGGCAGAGGCGUAAGCUAGGGAAAAUGCUACAAGAUUGGCGUGUUAUCUAUGUACAGCUAGAGCUGGCAUUUAGAAAGGAUUUUGGAGACAUCUUGAACAGUCCGGAUGACGAGAAUGUAUAUAUGAAAAUUUUCCAACAUAUCCUCCUUUGGGUAGAGGAGCAAACAUACUGGAUAGCUUCCCGUUUUCUUUUAUUGGGUUUUGAGUUGGAGCUCUAUUCCCCAAGUGAAUAUUGCAUGGUAUACUGGUAUAUGUAUGUUGUCUUGAUCAAGCUUGCAGAAAAAACACAUCUUAAGGUGGCAGCGAGGAAUGACACUAAUAAACGAAAGGGAAAGAAAAAAAGGGAUUCCCUGAAGGAAGUGCCAAGAGAAUAUCGAAUCCCACCAGCAGUUCUUUUUGUUCAAUGCCAAAUUUAUCUCGUUGAAGGGCUCACAAUGAUGCUUGCUGCUUUGAGGAAUGAAAACAUGAUCUUACAGAGUCCAAAUCCUUUUAAUACAGAGCAAGAGAGAUUUAUUCAGAACUUUGAACUUUUGCAAAAAGCUUGUGUUCCUGAUCACAUCUCAUACCCUGCAUUCAAGGAAUCGACGACAUAUGCUCGCAUCUCUACCCUGGUUAUGUAUAAUUACUUUAAAGAUGCUCAGAGAAUUGCAAAGGAGGUCAAGAGUAGUUUUUCCAAUGACCCAGACAAAUUGGCCGAACUCAGAAGGAUAGAGCAAGUGGCAGAGCACAAUAGCAUUGCCUUAAAUGUCAUUUCUCAGGUAGGAGCCCUCGACCCUACACUGAAGGUUUCUUUUGAAUUCAGCCACCAUCCUUACUUCGCUACUGCCGUCGUCAAGAGAUCUUGAAGGUGCCCUCUAUUGAUAUCCACCAAUUUUGAAACACUUCACACAGGAUUCAGAGGCAACUGGGUCAUGCGGAGCAAAAAUCCAAUCUGAGGAAAGACUGGCUCUAUUGAUGGCUUCGGGGAUAAUGAGCGAGUCCCUUUCUAGAAUAAGGAAUUUCUGCUAAUUUAACUACUAGCAUGGCAACAUGAGCUUCCUCAACAUUUGCUUCCACUAGAGGAAGCUGUCUUUAGGCAGCCAAGAUGAUGUUCCCCUUGGAGUCACAAAGAACUGCUGCUACAACUGCCAUAUUGAGUCCAGGUGUGUAAACUGCACUAUGUGGGCGAAUAAUACCCUUAUUUCGCAUUUGCAUUUUGCUGAGAGCAAAUUUUAGUAACCACAUCGGCACUUUGUGGAAUCCGCUCUUAACCACACUCGUGCAUGCGGUUUUUUUGUACUAACAGCUUGUGACAUCCGCUUUGCAUUUUGAGCUUCUUUUUUAACUAUGAACUUAAUUUUUAUGGCCUUGUUUUUUAAAAAGGUUUUUAAGAUGGGUUUAAUCCAA